rnacentral:tRNA from 1 species
GUCAAGAUGGCUGAGUUGGUUUAAGGUGCCAAUUUCAGGUACUGGUUUGAAAGGAUAUGGGUUUAAAUCUCAUUCUUUGACA